rnacentral:rRNA from 1 species
UGUAUUCGAUAAGUCGUAACGACUCUCGGCAACGGAUAUCUCGGCUCUCGCAUCGAUGAAGAACGUAGCAAAAUGCGAUACGUGGUGUGAAUUGCAGGAUCCCGUGAACCAUCGAGUUUUUGAACGCAAGUUGCGCCCGAAGCCUUUAGGCCGA